UGAAAGAAACGCAAUAUAUAUGAUAUCACCCUCAAAGCCCUCGGUAAACUAGAAAACCGGUCAAGAAUGUCAUUGAUGUUGUCUGUCGAUGUUGUUGCAUGAACGUGCAUCCUUUUUUCAUCAAUGCUCGUGGUGAAGUCUGUCUCUUGUGUUGGCCAUUUUUCCCUAUUUUCUUGUAGCCAAGAAGGUCGCAAAAUCCAAACCACUGGUGUUUUGAGAACAAAAAUGGAAAACAGAAAUGGCUAACUCCAGGUGAAUAAAUAUAUGAAUGUGCAGCACAGGGCAUGGAUUAACGCAUCGAAGGAAAAAUAAUGUGGCAAAUGUAGCCAGGAUGGCCGGCAAUAUGCGCUAUCCACAAUGCCCAGUGGAACGUGACUGCUUCUGGAGCAGAUCCAGCCACCAUGCGACCCAAGAAAAACAGAUCGGCCGAGACGAAAGGAAAACGGGAAGAUGACUCGCUUCACUAAUGUACGCAAACAAGCUGAGGCAAAUAAUUACCCGCUGACGUGCAGAUCAUGCAGCAAAAAGCAUCAAUUAAGAGUAUGCCCAAUAUUUCGUGCUAAAA